rnacentral:rRNA from 1 species
AGUGAACGCUGGCGGCAGGCCUAACACAUGCAAGUCGAACGGCAGCACAGUAAGAGUUUGCUCUUACGGGUGGCGAGUGGCGGACGGGUGACGAAUGCAUCGUAAUCUUCUUUUUCGUGGAGGAUAACGUAGGGAAACUUACGAUAAUACCGCAUAUGAUGUACGGGUGAAAGCAGGGGAUCUUCGCACCUUGCGCGAUUGAAUGAGCCGAUGUCGGACUAGCUAGUUGGGGGGGUAAAGGCCCACCAAGGCGACGAUCCGUAGCCGGUCUGAGAGGAUGGUCGGCCACACUGGAACUGAGACACGGUCCAGACGCCUAAGAGAGGCAGCAGUCGGGAAUGGUAGGCAAUGGGCGCAAGCCUGAUCCAGCCAGCCCGCGUGUGUGACGAAGGCCUUCGGGUCGUAAAGCCCUCUUGUUGGGUGAGAACAGCUGUAGGUUAAGACGCCGCGGUACUGACGGUACCGAAUAAAUAAGCACCGGCUAACUACGUG